AACGAACGCUGGCGGCAUGCCUAACACAUGCAAGUCGAACGAGACCUUCGGGUCUAGUGGCGCACGGGUGCGUAACGCGUGGGAAUCUGCCCCUUGGUUCGGAAUAACAGCGAGAAAUUGCUGCUAAUACCGGAUAAUGACGUAAGUCCAAAGAUUUAUCGCCAAGGGAUGAGCCCGCGUAGGAUUAGCUAGUUGGUGUGGUAAAGGCGCACCAAGGCGACGAUCCUUAGCUGGUCUGAGAGGAUGAUCAGCCACACUGGGACUGAGACACGGCCCAGACUCCUACGGGAGGCAGCAGUGGGGAAUAUUGGACAAUGGGCGAAAGCCUGAUCCAGCAAUGCCGCGUGAGUGAUGAAGGCCUUAGGGUUGUAAAGCUCUUUACCCGGGUAAGAUAAUGACUGUACCGGGA
rnacentral:rRNA from 1 species